GAAUUUACAUGGCGCAAACGCAGCAUAGUCGAUACUAGUUAUUGACAAUUGUUAAACAGAAGAGGAACACGUCGGACCACUGCUACCGUUCCGCCUCCGCCUCCGCCGCGGGUUACGCCGUCGCGAAGGGAUUAUGAAGCGGAUGCAGUUAAAAAUAACUGAUUUAAACUAUGAUGUUUUGAAACAUGUAGUGCACUAUGUAGUGAUAUCGUCUGAUGGAGCCGAGAACCUUGCCAGUGUGAUAUCUGUUUGCAGGUUGUUUAAGGAAGUUGCCAAUGAUCCGGACAUCUUGAAAGCUGUAACAUUUGAUGAUAUUAAGCUCCCUGCUAUCCCUGGGUCAUUUUGGCAACCUUCGGGCCUUUUAUGUACUUGUGUAGCCAAAGGAAACCGGAGUGCUUCUGACAAAGUAACUGAUUAUGCAGAAAUGCUCAAUGCAACUCAUAAGGUCCUUAAAAGGGAUAUGUUCCGUGCAAAGAUGAUUCUCAUGGCGAGAAAUAGAGCGGUUGAAACUGUAAAUACAAGGGCGAGGAAGAAGGCCCUGGAUUCAGCAAUAGAUGUUGGAGUGCACGAAGACCUGUGAUGCUGUUGAUGCUCAACUACAAAGAACGGAGCAGUUCUUGGAGAUGCUCAAUGCAGUGCAGAGAGAGAAACUACUUCUUCCGGAAUGCAGCGGGAGCUGUGGGAUAUCGUAGAAAUAUGCAAGCUAAAGAUCUCAUUCCCGGGGAGGGUCGUAUUGUUUUUAUUUCAAUUGUUGGCAGAAGAAGAUGACAUUGAAGAGGCCUUAGCCUAUCUCUCCUCAAAACAUAUAGCCAUGUAUGUAAUUUCGAGGCUGCUAGAGGAUUUUUGCUUUCGGUUUGUAGUGCUAUUGUUCUAGCUUUCUACAUCAUAUGGUCUUAUCAAUUUUUGCUAGAA